UACCAGCUCUCCGAGUGGUAGGGAUGAUUAUUGGGCUUAAAGCGUCCGUAGCCGGCUUAGCAAGUCUCCUGUUAAAUUCAGCGACCUAAUCGUUGAGCCGCGGGAGAUACUACUAGGCUAGGAGGCGGGAGAGGCCGACGGUACUUCUGGGGUAGGGGUGAAAUCCUAUAAUCCCGGGAGGACCACCAGUGGCGAAGGCUGUCGACUAGAACGCGCUCGACGGUGAGGGACGAAAGCUGGGGGAGCGAACCGGAUUAGAUACCCGGGUAGUCCCAGCUGUAAACGAUGCGGGCUAGGUGUUGGGGUGGCUACGUGCCACUUCAGUGCCGCAGGGAAGCCAUUAAGCCCGCCGCCUGGGGAGUACGGCCGCAAGGCUGAAACUUAAAGGAAUUGGCGGGGAGCACCACAAGGCGUGAAGCUUGCGGUUC
rnacentral:rRNA from 1 species